GAUGAACGCUGGCGGCGUGCCUAAUACAUGCAAGUCGAACGCAUUGUGGUUGAAAUGAUAUGAAGAACUUGUUCAGAUUUGAUUUUCAACAUUGCAAUGAGUGGCGAACGGGUGAGUAACACGUGGGAAACCUACCUCUUAGCAGGGGAUAACAUUUGGAAACAAAUGCUAAUACCGUAUAAUAAUUAAAACCGCAUGGUUUUAGUUUAAAAGAUGGUCUUGCUAAUCACUAAGAGAUGGUCCCGCGGUGUAUUAGUUAGUUGGUGAGGUAAUGGCUCACCAAGACAAUGAUACAUAGCCGAGUUGAGAGACUGACCGGCCACAAUGGGACUGAGACACGGCCCAUACUCCUACGGGAGGCAGCAGUAGGGAAUCUUCCACAAUGGACGAAAGUACUGAUGGAGCAACGCCGCGUGUGUGAUGAAGGGUUUCGGCUCGUAAAACACUGUUGUAAGAGAAGAAUGACAUUGAGAGU
rnacentral:rRNA from 1 species